GGGUUAUAUCAGGAGAUACUGAAGGAACUGGACAGGUUUUACUUUUCAAAAAGAGAAUUGCAGGAUAGGUUUUCAAACACUAGUUUGGAUAUUGGUAAAAAUUUCUUGGUGGGAUUUUUUUUUAGAAUAAUGUAAUUUUAAUUUCCUUUCAAGUCUAGCACAGUGUCCUAAGACUUGAUCCGCUUGUUAUGAGCCUGUAUUAGCCCAAGAAUUAACUGGUCUUAAGCAAGAUUUGCACUUUCUAUUCGCCACCCGUCUCUGUCCUUUCCGAAAUUCAUUUUGUGUAUCUUGCUUGCUGUGGAGAUAACUCACAAUCAGUUUUGGGCAGCACUCUGAAGCGUGGAAAACAUUCCACCUCCCCCCAGCCGCUGUAACAUAUGGAACAAAACAAAAGUAUGAGAUUUGUCUUUUCUUUCAAAAUAAAAGCAUUUUCAAAGCUUCUGGCUAAUUGUGGAUAGUGUUUCAGAAAUUUUUUUGUUUUCAAAAAAUUUUUCUAUACUGCUCUUCAUUUCAUGCUACCAGAGUGGGCAGUUGUAAGGGCUUUAUUGCUAGGACACUACAGUACUUUCCAUAAAAAGGGUUACUAUAUAAAGCUCUGAGAGUCAGAAAGCAACAUUUCAGUUACAGUGGUACCUCGGGUUAAGUACUUAAUUCGUUCCGGAGGUCCGUUCUUAACCUGAAACUGUUCUUAACCUGAAGCACCACUUUAGCUAAUGGGGCCUCCUGCUGCUGCGCUGCCGCCACACAAUUUCUGUUCUCAUCCUGAAGCAAAGUUCUUAACCCGAGGUAAUAUUUCUGGGUUAGCGGAGUCGGUAACCUGAAGCGUAUGUAACCCGAGGUACCACUGUACCUCCAAAGCCUAACACUUAAGAGCUGCUUCCAAUACUUCUGUACCCAGUAAUUUAGUAAAGGCAAGAAAAAAACCUCCAGAGGUCAUAGGUAGUUUUCUUACAAACGUCUUUUGUUAAGAAUAGGCUUGUAUCUGAGUCUGUUUGCGUCUUCUCUACAGCUUUAUCCUUUUUAAAUGUUUUCUUAUCUUUUCCUUUGCGACACAUAAGUGCUUUCCGAAAGGCCAUGUGUGAUGUCAUGACACAGCCACUGUUGCCACAGUAAAUGUUAAUGAGUUCCUUUCCCAUCUAUUGGAUUGGAUUGCUUGAAGAGAGUGGGCAUCAUUAAAAAAUACCAUGGCUGUGUGUGUUUUCUGAGCUGGUAGCUUAACCUCUUACCACAUCUAAAAUACAGUUGAAUCAAAGCAUUUUUAACCCAUAUAACAUGUAUCAUCUGCACUUGCAUCCAGAAAUCCUUCGGGUUCCUCAAAUGACUUAUGUUAGGUACCUUUCAUUAGACUGUGUGGAUGGUUCUAAUGCAAAUUUGUACUGCAGUGGAAAAGUUGAAAGUUUCUUGCAUAAAUUUAUAUUUAUAACUUGCAAUCAGAAAGAUGCUGUCUCAUUGCAGACUUUUUGUUUGGUGUUACUCCUGUUAGAUCUACACAUACUACAUUUGCUUCAGUACUAGAACCUUCUGUAGCUUGUUCUGGUGCAUAACCCGCAAUGGACAGUGCAGUAAAUACAAGACAUAUAUAAAUGGAGCUCCAUAAAUCUUUCAGUCCAACAUAUCAGUUGCAAGAAGGAGCAUCUUGCUGAAGGAAUGGCCUGUAAUGGAUGCAGUGAAACACAAUACAUUAUGUGCAGUGGUUAAAUAUUAAUAUGCAUAGGCAGUGUUUAAAGCUCAAGAAUGAAUCUUACUGAGGAUGAAAUUUCAAAGCACUUCGAAGGUUUCAUAAUGAGGCUUCUGGAUGUAGUAAUCUCUGCUUUACCAAAGGCAGUUACUCUUUUGUGAACUAUAUCAACAAUUAAAUUAAAUUUUGUUUCUCAAAAAAGCUUUUGCUGACACACAAUACUGAAGAGUUUAGAGUAGGGGUCUUUCCAGGUCCUUUUUAAUUACCUAAAAAUGUAACUGGUAUUUGACAGGGGACUGGAUUGGCCAUUCUGAAAGAGCAAUUAUGUGUCUCAGUUGUCUGUCCUCUUUUUUUAAUCAUAAGGAUGCCCUUUUUUCAACCAGUUCCAUUACACUAAUGAGGGCGUCUCAGUGAGAGGUGUGAGGUGUGGUUAAUAUUAAGACCAUCUUUUCUUAUAGCUACAACCAUCUGUAGGAAUUAGUUUCCGCAGCUAGUGUUUGGAGGCUGACUUCCUGUUCAGUGGAACACAGUGCUUUGGAAUCGGAGAAUUCAUGCAGAUAGUGCCUAAGGAGAUUUAAGAUUGUCUUUGCGGUCUUGAGUUCAUUGUACUGCGUAGCAUUCCCUUCUCAUAUACAAUGCACGUAAAAUCUUAAAAUUAGUAGUGUGAAAUUUAAAUCCCACCCCCAGUUCUGUUUUGCUUUUUACACUGAAUAGGCAUGCAGUUGAGCUUCCUCUAUAUAGAAAAUACUGAUUCAUUCCCCCGAAAUGGUUCCAAUUUUAUUUCCGUUUUUGUAGCUUAUUUGUUUUUGUCAGUGUGUGUUAUCCAUUGAUACUAUAUCAAUCCAGUUUUUUAAUUGAUAAAGUGCACCAGAAACUGAUUUUGAUGACUUAAUCCAUAGAUGUUAUGACAAGGAUGCCAUUACCUUUUGUUGGAUAGCAGUGUGACUGAUUGGCUGUAGAUGUUCCUGACAUAGCCUGUCAGAAGGGGUUAUUUUAUCUGAAACCAGUAUGGUUACAGAUGAGAGUGGUCCUGGGAAACAUCAUUCACUUCUACUAGUCACAUCCAUCACUUCCUAAUUAUUGCAGUUUUCAGGCAAGAAACAAGUUCUCCUUACUGUCCCUUAAGGGACUUGAUUGUCGCUGAUGUAACCAGUCUCUGCUCAAGUGACAUGGGAACUAAUAGGAUUAAUUUACUAGAUUUAGGGCACACCUCUGCUUCAGGCUGAAAUACAUUGCUUUAACUUGGAGCCAUAUAGUCUAAGUGUAUAUAUCAGGUGAAUGUGCUGACACUAGUGAUGCUAAAUUGAGCAUGGUGGCUGAGCUGAACAUCCUAGUAUUCACACUGGAACUAGUCAUUUUUGUUGAGUAGCUUAAUAGAAACAUUCUUCGUAGUUUGGAAAUGCAAUCCUUCUAGCCAAUGAAGCACUUCUCUUUUUUUAAUUAUAAAUACUAUGAAAAAAUACUGAUUUUAACUAAAUUUAUUCCCCAUGGUUGUAUGAUAAUCUAAAAUAUUUGACAAGAAAUUGUGAAAAUGGAAAAACUAACAAAAUUUAGAAUCACAUUUCAAAAUGGUAUUCAAAAUUGCAAAAAAUAGAAUACAGUAGAAAAAAUAGAAGUUUUGGUCAGUUAGAAUUUGUAAGGACCUUGAUCACUCUGAAUGUCAAAGCUGUGAAAAAGGCACAUGUCAGUUUCUAGAUUCUUGAGAAGUAGGUCAACAAACAUGCCAGUGUAACUGGUGCAGUGAAGCUCGCAUUAGUUUUCUGUUAUGGUAAGCUAGUCACCCAUCCAGGUUUCAUUUAAGGAUCACAUGAAGUGGAGGCGGAUUGUGUUACCGUAUUUUUUGCACCAUAACACUCACUUUUUCCUCCUAGAAAGUAAGGGGAAAUGUCUGUGCGUGUUAUGGAGUGAAUGCCUGCGGGUGGCAGGGGGGAUCUGCUGCAGUCAUGAGCAGAGGAUCCAUGGUUCCCCUUCCUUCUCUCCUCCGUGGUUACAAAGCAUGGAUCCACAUGGAUCCUCAGGAUUUUUGCAUUGGGCUACUCCAAACUCACUGUCAGAUCACAUGUCUGUGGCCACAGCAUGAACCACAAAAAUCAUAUAUCCACUAUUUCGUUUAGAAUAUUUUUUUCUUGUUUUCCUCCUCUAAAAACUAUGUGCGUGUUAUGGUCUGGUGCGUGUUAUAGAGCGAAAAAUACGGUAAUUCAGCCACUGCACCUGAUCAGGCUUUGGAUAUAUGUAACACUCCAAUUGGUUCUUUCUAGGUCUGCAGUGUUUGUGAGGAAAGGAUUCUCAUUUUAUUUGUGAGGUUUGUUUAUUCAUUUAAAAGCAUCUGUUAACCUCCCCCCCCAUAUAUUUAAAUCUCUAAAUGAUGUACAAUAUAACACCCAUAAAACAGUAGUGUAGAAGCAUGUAAGAACAAAUAAAAACAGGAAUUCAUGGAAUUGAAACACAUAAAAAAAGGAUCUAAUCUUAUGGUUCAGGGAAAGCCUGGAGUGGGGGUGGGGAAAGUCUUUACAAAAUGCCUGAAACAAUUGAUGGUAGCUACUUCACAUAAGACAGAAGGAAGGGCAUUCAGAAAAUGCUCAUAAUCUGUUCCCUGCCCUAUGAUGUUUUGUAGGGUGCUGUACCAUGAAAACAUUUCCCCCAUAUGUUCUAAGUGAUCUUACAGGCAGUUUUUCCAAGUAUCCCGGUCCUGAGUUGUCCAGGGCUUUAUAUGUUAACCGCCAGACCUUGAACACAGCCCAGCAGCUGAUCAGCAGCCAGUACAGUUCUUUCAGCACAGGCGUAACAUGUUCACAUCCAGCUGCUCCACUCGGAAAGCUGUCCACAUCAUUCUGCACCAGCUUCAGUACCAACCCCAAGGGAAGCCCCACAGUAGUCCAGUCAUGAGAUUACCAGCACAUGAAACAUGGUGGCUAAGCUAUCAAGAUGAGGAUGUAUGUAAGGUUGUCUAUAUUCUAGAGGAAGCAUAUCCAAAGUGGUGCCAUUAAUUUUUGUUACUUAGUGUUUCAACAUCUCUGACCAUUAGCCAUGAUAAUUGAAGAUUAUGAGAGUUGUAGUCCAUUAAGAUCUGGAGCACACCACGUUGGCUACCCCUGCUCUAGAAGUAGCAUUAGCACAGUUUUGAGGAGUGCUAAGUCAAGAUUAGGGUUGUGGGUGGCGCUGUGGUCUAAACCACAGAGCCUAGGGCUUGCCAAUCGGAAGGUCGGCGGUUUGAAUCCCCGCAACAGGGUGAGCUCCUGUUGUUCGGUCCCAGCUCCUGCCAACCUAGCAGUUCGAAAGCACGUCAAGUGCAAGUAGAUAAAUGGGUACCGCUCUGGCGGAAAGGUAAACGGUGUUUCCAUGCACUGCUCUGGUUCGCCAGAAGCGGCUUAGUCAUGCUGACCAGCGGAAGCUGUAUGCCAGUUCCCUCGGCCAGUAAAGCGAGAUGAGCGCCGCAACCCCAGAGUCAUCUGCGACUGGACCUAACGGUCUGGGUACUUUUACCUUUACCUUUAUCUUUAAGUCAAGAUUUUACAGUGAAUAUUUUGCUGGGUCAGGAUGAGGAUAUAUGCAAUUAUGCAGUUGAUAUAUGCUCCUGUGUAAAGCAGAGAAUCC
rnacentral:lncRNA from 1 species